rnacentral:misc_RNA from 1 species
GAUGAAGAACGCAGCGAAAUGCGAUAAGUAAUGUGAAUUGCAGAAUUCAGUGAAUCAUCGAAUCUUUGAACGCACCUUGCGCCCCUUGGUUAUUCCAAAGGGCAUGCCUGUUUGAGUAUCAUGAACACCUCAACUCUUGUGGUUUCCCACAAUGAGCUUGGACUGUGGAGGUUUUGUUGGCCCUGUGGUCAGCUCCUCUCAAAUGGAUCAGCUUACCGGUGUUUGGUGGCAUUACGGGUGUGAUAACUAUCUCCGCUCGUGGUCGUCUCCAAAUAACCUCCAGUGAUGGAGGUUCGCUGGAGCUUAUAAAUGUCUCACCCCAGUGAAGACAGCCUUUGAACGUUCGAUCUCAAAUCAGGUAGGACUACCCGCUGAACUUAAGCAUAUCAAUAAGCGGAGGA